UUUGUUCAUUGUUCAUAUAUAUAGAUACAUUCAAAUACAAGCUACCCAUCACUCCCUCAUCACAUUGAUCUGGCAUAAGUCUCUCUAGAAACCCUAGCCGUCGACCUCUACCACAGGUGAUUACAUCAUCUUGACAAAAAACUCAGCCUUUGGCCUCCUGCUACGUCGCCGAUUGCCGCUUUGCCUCAACCACCAUCAUUGUUCACCACUGCAUACAUACUCAAUCAUCUGGUCGAUUAUCUCUCUACACCCAACAAUCUGUUUGUUGCCUGUUCCACUCAAUCAAGAUUUUUUAAGUCAAAAUCCACCUUCAGAAUCGCACACAUUCAACCAAACGAUUACGACUUCUAUGGGAGUUAAAAGGGAGAACGAUCAAACAGAUGGAGACAUGUUUUCUACUUUCAAUCCCAUCGCCGCCCCAGGAAGAACGGGCGAUUCGUUUUUUUUAAAUCAAAACUUAUCAUAUCGUGAUUUGGGGAGAAACGUAGACAAAAUCAUCUACUUGAACGACUUCACUAGCGGGGCAACAUCAUCUCUUCAAUUUGAUUAUUGAAAAUGAACCUUCGUGAUUUAAGGAUAGAGGUAUUUUUUUUUUAAAUUUCUUUAUCUUCAUCUAUUUAUCCAACCGUGUUUCUAUUUGGUUCAAACAUUAGCAUCCAUUGGAAGAUGCUUGGCAUUGAAAUUUCUUAACACCACCGUGAAUCGAAGCCUAAUCGAAGUUGCUACCACCACCUUCAACACCAAUUAACGCAACCACCACUACCACCUCUACGCUCAUCCUUCUCUCUUCCCUAUUUUAUCACUCGAUGUCGAAGGUAAGCAAUUGUUCUGUCUUUCUUUCACUCUCAACACCGAUAUUAAGGUAAGCAAUUGCUCACAUCUAUCUUGUAAUUUUUUCCUGGAGCAUACGGACAAAGAGAUUUGUCAACACCAAAGAUCUUGUAAGUUUCUCAUCUAAUAUAUUCAUAAGAAAAACUUAUGCCAUGUAUCUGAUGAAAAUUUAGAUGUAUUUCUAUUCAUUUCGUACAUAAAAUUUUGAUUGGGUUGAUUUGGGUCGUUAGGGUUUCCUAUUUAUAUAAUAGGUUGUAUUAACUAUUAUCAUAUUAACUUUUUUGUUGAUUGGAUAGUUGUUUUGCUUUUAAGAUAUAUUUGACUCAUUUGCCAUUGUCCUCUUAACCAAUUUCUAUAAAUCCGACUUUUUUGUUUAAUUUUCUUUUCAUACUACUGACUCAGUAUCUACAACAGAGCCUACACAGAGCUUCAUGGAUAGUGGCAAUAGCUGAAACCCCCAAGAUUACAUUGAAAGAUGCUUCUCAAAGGAGGUAACAUAG
rnacentral:lncRNA from 1 species